rnacentral:rRNA from 1 species
GGGUUAGUGGCGGACGGGUGAGUAACGCGUGAGAAUCUGCCCUCAGGAGGGGGACAACAGCUGGAAACGGCUGCUAAUACCCCAUAUGCCGCGAGGUGAAAUGAAUUUCGCCUGAGGAUGAGCUCGCGUCUGAUUAGCUAGUUGGUGUAGGUAAUGGCUCACCAAGGCAUCGAUCAGUAGCUGGUCUGAGAGGAUGAUCAGCCACACUGGGACUGGGACACGGCCCAGACUCCUACGGGAGGCAGCAGUGGGGAAUUUUCCGCAAUGGGCGAAAGCCUGACGGAGCAACGCCGCGUGAGGGAUGAAGGCCUCUGGGCUGUAAACUUCUUUUAUCAAGGAAGAAGAUCUGACGGUACUUGAUGAAUAAGCCACGGCUAAUUCCGUGCCAGCAGCCGCGGUAAUACGGGAGUGGCAAGCGUUAUCCGGAAUUAUUGGGCGUAAAGCGUCCGCAGGCGGCCCUUCAAGUCUGCUGUUAAAAAGUGGAGCUUAACUCCAUCAUGGCAGUGGAAACUGUUGGGCUUGAGUGUGGUAGGGGCAGAGGGAAUUCCCGGUGUAGCGGUGAAAUGCGUAGAUAUCGGGAAGAACACCAGUGGCGAAGGCGCUCUGCUGGGCCAUCACUGUCGCUCAUGGACGAAAGCCAGGGGAGCGAAAGGGAUUAGAUACCCCUGUAGUCCUGGCCGUAAACGAUGAACACUAGGUGUCGGGGGAAUCGACCCCCUCGGUGUCG